rnacentral:rRNA from 1 species
GACGAACGCUGGCGGCGUGCCUAAUACAUGCAAGUUGAGCGCUGAAGGUUGGUACUUGUACCAACUGGAUGAGCAGCGAACGGGUGAGUAACGCGUGGGGAAUCUGCCUUUGAGCGGGGGACAACAUUUGGAAACGAAUGCUAAUACCGCAUAAAAACUUUAAACACAAGUUUUAAGUUUGAAAGAUGCAAUUGCAUCACUCAAAGAUGAUCCCGCGUUGUAUUAGCUAGUUGGUGAGGUAAAGGCUCACCAAGGCGAUGAUACAUAGCCGACCUGAGAGGGUGAUCGGCCACAUUGGGACUGAGACACGGCCCAAACUCCUACGGGAGGCAGCAGUAGGGAAUCUUCGGCAAUAGACAAAAGUCUGACCGAGCAACGCCGCGUGAGUGAAGAAGGUUUUCGGAUCGUAAAACUCUGUUGGUAGAGAAGAACGUUGGUGAGAGUGGAAAGCUCAUCAAGUGACGGUAACUACCCAGAAAGGGACGGCUAACUACGUG